AUUGAACGCUGGCGGCAGGCCUAACACAUGCAAGUCGAGCGAGCGGCGGACGGGUGAGUAAUGUAUGGGGACUGCCCGAUAGAGGGGGAAAACUACUGGAAACGGUGGCUAAUACCGCAUAAUACCGGAUAACCCAGAUGGGAUUAGCUAGUAGGUGGGGUAACGGCGCACCUAGGCGACGAUCUCUAGCUGGUCUGAGAGGAAGAUCGGCCACACUGGGACUGUGACACGGCCCAGACUCCUACGGAGGCAGCAGUGGGGAAUAUUGCACAAUGGGCGCAAGCCUGAUGCAGCCAGGCCGCGUGUAUGAAGAAGGCCUUAGGGUUGUAAAGUACUUUCAGCGGGGAGGCGUGACCCGCAGAAGAAGCACCGGCUAACUCCGUGCCAGCAGCCGCGGUAAUAC
rnacentral:rRNA from 1 species